UGUAACAGACUGACCCUAGCCCCCCGACACAUGCCCAGUCAUGUGAAAUCCAUAGAUUAGGGCCUAAUCAAUUUAUUUAAAUUGACUGAUUUCCUUAUAUGAGCUGUAACUCAGUAAAAUCGUUAAUUGUUGCAUGUUGUGUUAUUAUUUUUGUUCAGUAUAUUUUUAAGCACAUUUAGGACAUUGCCACUGUGUAUUUACCUCAUAUAAGUGACUUUAAUUCCUCCCAACAGGAUGACACUGGGAGUAGACAAGGCAGUAGGGGUGACUCUGCAGUGUCAGAGUUCACCACAGACAGUGGAGUGGUCCUGUACACUGGAGAGGUCCCCACCUUACCACGGGCUGUACCCUGGAAACUACCACCACUUGUGUGUGUGUGUGUGUGUGUGUAAAAGAGUGUAUGCUUGUCAGAGACCUUGUGUGUGUCCCACUCCCAGCCCACAUCCCUAGCCUGGUUCAUGAGAGUGGUGAGAGACCCAGGUCCAGUGAAAUCCUGGAGCAGCUGCUUAUCCCAGGGAGAGGGCCAGCGGGGCGGCAUACAACAUGAGGCACCCUCACCAGGCGUCUCUGAAGAUCAGGAGGGACCAGUCUGUCACCAGCUAAGAGGACAUGGAGGAGUUGAUGAGGCAGGCCAAGGAGAGACGUAACAAGCUGAGAAAUAUAUAAGUGGCCUAUGAAGAGCUAGUGAUUAUGACAUCAUGAAAAAUAUGAAUGUUAGGUCAAAGAGGAGGAGCUGAAGGUGAGCCCAAGGACUAAGUCAGCUGGUGUCUGUGGCCCAGACACUGCAGGGAUAACCGGAGAGGGGGACGUAGUCACCCCUGUGGAGGUCCUCCAGACCUCUGAGACCCCACCCAGCCUGACAGGGAUCCAGCAGGACCCCCCGGAUACCGACCCACCCCAAACCCAGAGAGGAGGGAGUGGAGGGGUCAGGGAGAGUGGAAUUCAGAAGUGGGGUCAGUGGGCAGCUUCUCUUAACCUCUCUGGAGAUGGAGAAAUGACUCCACGUUUCAUCAGACUGAGCAAACUGUGGAGACGUUCUAGCACCUGCCUGGGAGCACCUUAUUCAUGUAUUCGUGUGUCUGAGAACAGAAGGAUGGAUAAAAUGAGGGAAGUAGAAAAUGGAAAAUAGGGGUGAAAUACUAGAAGAGGAUAGAGAAAAUGAGCGAGGGAGAGGGUCAUUAUUAUUAUAAAAACAUUGUAAAUUAACCAAAAAAUAAAUCCUGAGAUUUAUUUUCCAUUCAUUUAUAAAGAUUAAGGGAUUUCCCCCCCACUUUAUGUCGCCAUGAUGAACGUUUCGUUGAAAGCUGUUUUGAACACAAGAUGGCACUGUUUCCAUGGAAUUCAAUUACUCUCCAGCACUGUUCAGUAUCGCAAAUUUACAGGUUUUUGGUGUCAUCAUACACUACCAGUCAAAAGUUUUAGAACACCUACUCAUUCAAGGAUUUUUAUUUAUGUUUUCUAUUUUCUACAUUGUAGAAUAAUAGUGAAGACAUCAACACUAUGAGAAC